rnacentral:lncRNA from 1 species
CGUGCUCUGUUUCUCUCUCUUGGGUACGCGCGCCUUUUCGUCGUCUCCUCCGUUUCCGACAUGGAAGAUAAACUGGUUCUUGCUUUUGGCGCUGUGACCUGUUCUCCUCGCUCUGCACCACCUACGUUUUUGGUGGGUAUCUGCAAUUAACAUUAUCCCUUGAAGUCUAUUUACUUUAGUACUCGUUGCUUCUGCAUAUUUGCUCUUUAACCUCAACGUUUUAUCGGACAAUUUAUCGCACUGGUUAGCUGAUAUCGCCCAAUAAAUUGUGAAACAACCUCUGUUUUGCUUGGGUUUCCUCCUUGUUUUUGCAGCUUCACUUUUCUGCUAUCUUUCUAUCUGGUGGCUGAAAGGUGAGUACUCUUAGUAUUUCUUCUCCUUCUUUAGAUUUGUGUGGCUGCAUUAAUGGACCGCAGCGGGCUCGCAACUUUUAACUACUACCUAAUGGUUUAUAUGUGAACUAAUUUAUUGUUCUAUGAAUCAUCUGCAUCUACUUUGUUCCGCUGAUUUAGUCAGAGCCUCACAUGAUGCAUUGUAAUUUAAUUAUUUGACUGAUUAGAAAUUUCUUAUAGUUGAUUUUGGAUAUAGAUACCUAUUUUGCUGAAACCUUCAGAGUAGUUUCCGUCCAAGAGAGAAUUGGAUUUGAGUUUGACCUUGUUGACAUUUCAUGCGCUUACCCUGGUCUUGCGCAAUGGUUAAUCUCACUCUGGGGUGUAGCUACCUUUGGUGAAGGGGUUCAAUUUAAUCCCCUCAGGUAGAAAGUUACAAUUUGAAAAAAGGAUAAAAACAAAUUUCUUUGUAUAUACCAAUCAUUGAGCCUCCUUGAUAUAAGUUCAUAUCUUAUUUAUGACGUUCUUACAUUUUUUUGAAUCCCCUUAUUCAAAAUUCGGACUCCACCACUGAUCGCUAUUGGGUGGAUUGUGUGCAUCAUCUGUGCUCAUUCUGCUCUUUUGAUUUAGUCAGAGAGUUCAUUCUAACUUCACUAUAUUUACAUUAUCUGGUUGACUACUUAAAUAUAAUUCUUUUAUAGUUGAUUUAGGCUAGAUUUUGAUAUCUUUGGAGGAAUCUCCUGAUUAUUAAGCUUGUAUUUUGCUAUUGCUUACGACACAAUCCACAAUGGUCGAAAGCUAUAAAAAGACAACCUCCUGCAGAUGGUGUGCAGAAAUGAGCUGUAAAGCAAAUUGAUGGUUCAUGAGUUAUCCAAGUGUAAGAAGGAAGCUCUGUAUUUGAGAAUAAAUAUAACAUCAAUUG